UUCUUCUCUGUUUGGGAGUGCAUUCUAUGAGUGUGGUAAUUCCGUGGUGCUUUUCCCCGUGAGAAUACUUUGUUCUAUUGGUCCACGGUCGGUGGUAUCUUCUAAGAGCUCUAAGCUCCCAGUAUUGGGAGCGAUUCUGGUGGCUCUACCCAUCGUUGUCGUGGGGCCUGCUUGGAGGGGUGUUCGCGUUGCGUUUUUCCGUUCGGUGAUGGGCCGUGAUUUGGCCAGCGCAUGCGUGUCGUUGCCAUCACGUGUCGGCGAGGUCAAGCGGUUGCGGGUCGGUUCGAGCUUGCUUUGACCGCGGGUUCGUUCUUCCUUCUCUAUUCUUGGAUGCGGCGGCACUUCUACUCGCGUAGCAACGAUCUUCUCCUUCAGUCACUCCCCCACCGCCCCCACCCACCGCGAAGACUUGCUAGCGUUGUGCUAGAACAAGGCAGGGAAUAGCGCUGGAGGCGAGGACGGACGGCGCCAUGGCCGUACCGGUGCUGGAGCCCUGGAUCGAUGUGGAGGUCUGGCCGUGCGACACCGCAACAGCGAUGGCGAUCCACAUGCACGUAGAGGAAAAUAUUCAUCACUUCUGGCGUCUCUGGCCGCCGUUGGAGAUGCGGUUGGGCGAGGGAGGCGACGAGCAGCGAAUGGACGAUGACGGCCAUCUGUCCCGCAAGAGAUGAACGAGCUGCGGAGCCGGUGUGCAGACGCUUCUCAUAUUCUCUGAUGCAAAGUUGAUUCAGUUGUAUUGCACGGCUCAGAUAACUUAUUUUAUUUUUGGCGCUCACCAGAACACUAUUACUAUAUAUGCUUCCGAUUGAUGAUGCAGAGUGAUAGUCUAUGGCUCUAUGCCUUGACAUGUGAUCCUCGACUAAUAACCUGCCUUAGUCUUAAUUAUUUCACAUUGAACAUUUUUGAUAUUUUACUUAAAUCACGGUAGAUUGGUAGAGAUCUCUUAUCUCAAUUUAAUACUGGACUGCUAGAAGUCUGAAUUUUCCUCCAAAUUAUAUGGAAUGUUCAUUCUAAUAUUGGAAGAAAAGCUAUUUGGUUUUUUCCAUCCAUGAAUGAAGGUAAACGCACAGAGAAAUUUGAUUUCCUCAUGAUAUUUGUAAGGGAAGCCUGAAGAAUGUUAGACCUACACGCACAGUCAAUAAGGCUAUCAUGGAAACUAAAGAUAAAUUCAGUGUUACUAUCACUUUUUGGAAUCUCUGGGUUGAUACAAGGCCCUGCUAGAUAUGUUUUAUUCUCAUACUUUCCCAACAAAUUAAAUGACUUUGGCACCUAAUCAUACAUCAAAUGUGGUUAGUUUAAAUUAUAUUACUGAUCACAGAUAGUCAAUUUAGUCAUAUUUGCUGUUUUCCUUAAAUUCGUUCAAUUAUUAUGUACUUGAGAAAUUUUUGGGGACCCUAAUUUCUUGGGGCCCUCUUGGUAACUCACCCUUCAAAUGCCAAGAUUUGGGCCUGCUAAGAAAAAUUAUCAUUGUGGCUAAAUUAUCAGUCAUAAUGCAGAGUAAGGCUUGAUGUCUUAAUUAUUGAGUAUGAACCCAUUCCUAUUUCUGAAUCAACACUGGUCAGUAGGUUACACAUGGAGUUUAAACAUUGAAGCACUAAGAUGUAGUUUAGUACAUGAUAUCCAGUCUUGCUUUAUCUAUCUGUUAAAUACCAAAAAAAAACUGGUUGUGUUCGAAAAGAAGAUACAUAGUUUUUUGGAAUGGUCCAUUGCGUCCACUGAUUGCAGAGAAAGACGGUUCUAGGAACAUGGAAAUAGUCUUUAUUCCCCAUAUAUUAAUCUUUUGUAAGAUGCCAUUUUCCAAUUUAUAGCUCACAAGAUCAUUUUGUGUCUCGAGAAUCUUCCUUUUUAUUAUACUACCUAUUUAAUUAUAGUAGAGAGGCGGACUGCACUAAAACAACACUGGUGGCUGGUGGAUUUUGACAUUUUUAUCGCCUCCGCAACUUUGGGUUUGCUGUUAGCCCAGAAGAUAGAUAAGGAGUAAACUGGCAGUGCAUUUUGGCAGUAAUUGAUUUUGUUCAUAAAUCCGCUUCCAUUUGACGAAAGAUAUAUACAUUGCAUGAUUGGAGUAUAUUCCAUAUAACACUGUUGAUGUUUUCCUCUACUUCUUUCUCUGAGAGCACAAAGAUAUUAUUGUGCAUGAAUUGAGUAUAAUCCGUAUAACAUUGCUAAUGUUUUCCUAUUCUUUUGCUGAGAUAUAUAAUUUUGAAAUCUCCCCAAAUGGAUGGGGUAUUGAGGAUGAACCCAACUAAUUUCAAUUUCUUCGGCGAGAUUCAAUCAAAACUGCCUAGAAAUAAAAGAUGCUUCUUUUUUACAAAAUUGGCAUAUGUAUGCUAUGAAGUAUAUGAUCCAUUAUUUGACAUCUCAUUGUAAUUGGUAUGAUCUCUAGGGUAAAGUUGGUAGCAUAUGAGAAUCAUUUUUUGUAUGUGCUGUGAAUGUGGAAAUAUUGGCUAAAGCUUCAUAGGGAAUUACUCACUUGGUUUUUGCCAUUUGGGUUGAUGGCGUCGUAGUUGAUUUCGUCCAUGCAGUUGGUGCCGUUUGUGCUGGUUCACCCUUCCACUGCUGCUUCUUUUUUCCCAUUUGGAUGCCUCUGGUUCUCAUCAGCACAAUGGCCCUGAUGUUCUUCCUGCUCGUGGCCAUAGCAACGGAGAAUCGUUGGAAACACGUUUGUGUGUUUCCAGGUACACCACGAUCAUUAAAUAUGAGGGAGAAGUUUGAUGCGGAUGCUCUUAUCCAGGGAAGUUGGUGAGAGCCUGUGAUUUUGUUGGCUAUUGGGCGCACCUUCAAGCUGCAGGAUUCUAUGCUUUCACUGAGUCCUAGCUAUGGAUGGCGAAGCUUGCGGUUGAGUAUGCUUUGAAGUUGUUACCUAUGAUACACUGAUGAUAUGGUAAGGUGGGCCAUAUUAGGAAAAUGGGUAGACUAAAGCAGACCUAAAGUAGUGACAUGGUAGAAAUGAUAUUUCUACAAUAUAAGUACCAGUUCUACGUUGUUGGCUACCUUAUGAACUUUGAAUAUAUCUCCCUUUAAUCAGACGAAUGAGUUUCUUUCUUUCGCUAUGUUGACUGUUACUACGUACAUUUAUACUAGGAUCAUUGUUGCUCAAGCGAUCUACCUUACUGGCAAUCAAUAGUGUCCUUAUAUUGAAGGCUUAUUGUUUCUAAAGUAGAGGAAAACAAUUAAUAAAUAGACUAUCCUGCUGAUUGUUAUCCCUUUUAUUUUAGAGUGGUCCCAAUCCAGUUACAUGCACUAGAUUUUUCAUGUUGCAAAAUGAUCCGAAGCUAAGUCUACUUGUCACUGCCAUCUUAGAAUAUUUACUUCAACCUAUGGAUGUAAAAGGGAUUCAUGGACAUGAUGAUGCACAAAGGCAGUUGCUGUCAUAAGAAGAACAAUUGGUAUUAUUAUUAGCAUGGUGAAGCCAGAGUUUCAUGCAAAUUUUAUAAUAUUUACAAGUUUGUUGCUCUUUCUACUUUUGUAUAUUGAAUUGGUUUGGAAUAUUGUUGUAAUAUUGUACUACCAUUUUGGGCAGUUAUUUUUCUGCACUA